GCCCACCGUCGCUAUUGACUCCGGCUCCGACCUCGCCGGAGACCGCUCCUCCUCGUCACCGGCGGUCGCGCCCGCCUCGCCGGCGCCCUAGGUCUCGCUCGUCGGCACCGACCACAUCUUCCUCGACCCCUUCCACCUCUACGACGCCUGCGCCACCCACCCUGAUCCCUCCAUCGAUCACACUGGAUGCUACCAAAGACGAAGAAGCUGACAAUGAAUGGGUUGUUCAAGGGACCCAGGUAGACCCUAUUUCAGGACAUUUCUUCGAGCUCCAGCAGGCGUCGAGAGUCGUUGAGCGCUACCCAGAGAGAUGAGGAGGAGCAUCACUAUGAGAAGAUGUAGCACAGCACCAGGAGGUGCAUCACUAGGCAUGGAACUUGGUCGUGUAGCACCAGGUGUGGGACCAGUGGCAACAGGUGUAGCACCAAGAGGUGUAGCACUAGGCAUGGGACUAGUGGUAGGAGAUGCCACACAUGGAGGCCCCUGACCAAGAUGAUGAGGCUGAAAAUAGGGAUUUCAGAGACUCUACUAUGGCACGCACACGUCACUGUAGGAAGAGCCACGUAGUAAUGCCGCCUGUUGCAAAAAGAACAAGAGGCUGACAAGACAUUAAUUAGGUCACUUAUAGAUUGGUGAGUGUAUUUUUUUAUUUGUCUAAUAUAUGAAAUUAUUUUCUCCA